CCUACGGGAGGCAGCAGUAGGGAAUUUUCGGCAAUGGGGGGAACCCUGACCGAGCAACGCCGCGUGAACGAAGAAGUUCUUCGUAAUGUAAAGUUCUUUUAACAGGGAAGAAAGAGACAUUUGACGGUACCUGCCGAAUAAGCUCCGGCUAACUACGUGCCAGCAGCCGCGGUAAUACGUAGGGAGCGAGCGUUAUCCGGAAUUAUUGGGCGUAAAGGGUGCGUAGAUGGCAUAGUAAGUAGCGUAACUCCAAGGCUCAACCUUGGAACUACUACUAAAACUGUUGGACUUGAGUGCAGGAGGGGCAACCGGAAUUCCUAGUGUAGCGGUGGAAUGCGUAGAUAUUAGGAGGAACACCAGUGGCGAAGGCGGGUUGCUAGACUGUAACUGACACUGAGGCACGAAAGCGUGGGGAGCAAACAGGAUUAGAUACCCCUGUAGUC
rnacentral:rRNA from 1 species